UCAAGUUCAACUCUUCCCUUCACAUCUUCAUAUACAUUCUUCAGCUCCUGCAUUGCGUUUCUUAAAGACUCCAUAUUUUCCUGCAGAUCCCUGAUGUAGACUGCAUGCUUGGCUGUGCAGUUCCAUACGCGAGUUACAACAUCCAAGAUUGGGCUCACACAAUCCAUUCCUUGCCUUGAGAGAUGAAAGAAACAAGAGGUGAGAUUCAAGAAAAGAAGAGAAAGUGGGAGAGCAGAGAAGACUUGUGGUUGUCGAAAACAGUUCAAUCUCUCCGAUUAAGGAAUUCCAAUAUGGGUGAUCGCAUUAUUGCUAGUUACACUGUUGGAGGACACCCCUGACCCCACCUCCGACAUAACUUCAAUAAUUUUAUUCAAAGGCUGCUUUUCCACGCAAUAUCAUUUUCUUUUCAGAGUGUCGACUUUACUUUCUGAAAAGACAAGGAAGUUUCAUAUCAAGAUCCCAUAGUGUUUCCUGUUAUGAGUCCCUGGUCACAUUCUGGGUGUGAUUAAUUAGUCAGAGUUUUAGCUCUUCACUUGUGGUUGUCAAAAACAGAUCAAUCUCCCUGAUGAAGGAAUUCCAAUUCGCAGUGUGGACUUUACUUUCCAAAACGAAAAAAAAGUUUGAUGUCAAGAUUCCAGAGUGUUUCUUAUUUUGAGUCCCUGAUCACAUUAUGGAUCUGAUUCGUCUGGGCUUUAGCAUUUCAAUAUAUCAGACUGCUCCUCAUCCCUUUGAAGUGAUUGAUCAAGGGAGGCUAUUGGUUAUUAAUGGAGCUGAAUAUGCAAUCCUUUGGAAGGCGUUGUGCUGUGCAAUGACAUCUGAUAAUGGUGAUUAGUGGCCCACAAUCUUGAUUAAUGGUGGCGAAAGAGAUAAGGCCACUACCAUUCUCCUGUCCCACAUUACUUCAAUAAUGCAAAGUAACGAGUACUCCACUACUCACCAGUUUCAUUAAGCUUCUAUUCCAAAUCUAUUAUUUCCCCUUACCUACUCUGCUUCAACUAUCAUAUUUAAUCAAGUAUUUAAUAAUUUAAAAUCAAAUUAUUAAUUAUUUGUUUCAUUUAUGAUCUCCAUAUCAUAUUAUGAUGGAUCAGGUCACCCACAAAAACGAAGAAAUAUGAUUGAAAACUGAAAUUACUAAGAGAUUUCUACAAUGAAAUGUGAACAAAUUAAGUGAAAUUUGAAUUGAUCUUCAAAAAUAGGUUCCCAUGAACAAAAACUAACCCAAAUUUAUUGGAGCAAAUGUCCGAGCUAAAAGAAUGUAAACAAAGUUGAAAAUGGAUUCACCAUUACCAUCUUCAAGGCUUCAAGAAUAAAAAUUAAAAUUUUCAUAAUAAUGCUUUAAAGCAAGCAUUUUUUCAUAGUUAUGUGAAAUAAUUUUUAAAAUAAACAUGCAUGGGACCAUAUAGUUGUAAUUCAGUUUAAUUGGAAAAAAAAAUCAGGAGACAUAAAUAUUAAGUCUUUUUGCUUAAGAUGUUUUCUAUUUUAUUUUCAAAGAAAAAAGAAAAUAAAUUGGAGAAUAUUGUUAGGGAUCCAUCUACAUUAUUAAAGUGUAUUUUUUUCUAUAGGUAUCGAAAGACAUCAUUGAUAAGGUGGUGACACAUAUACAUCUUCAAAUCGGUUUUUUUAUUUAAUUAUUCUAAUCAUAUUUAUUUAUAUUUUUAUACAUUAAUCUCAUUUAUUUGUACUCUUAUUUGAUGACCUUGAUUUUACCAUACACAUUCAAUAGUUUAGAUUUAGAGUUCAAUAGGUAUAUAUAUUAUAUGUUUGGAUACUUAGUUUCUGUUUCUAUUUUUUAGGAAAUUGAGUUAUAAGUGAAAAUAAUAUUUUGAUGUUUUUGAAAAUUUUUAAAUAAAAUGAAAACAGUCUUCUCAUAAGUAAAAGGAUAAAAAUAAAUAAAAUAAUUUAAAGUUUGAGAUACUUCCCAACAUUGAUUGUUGGGUGCUUCAAAUUCCUUUUGCGUUUGAAUUGCUUUAUUUUAUGUUUUUUUUUCAUUAAUACGUUUACUUUGAUACCUUUGUUGACACAACAAUUGGUCCCCAAGCCCAGGUUAAAAUUUGUGAAAAGCUCAAAAGGAACACAAAAACACAAUACAGAAGAAAUUUUAGUUGAAUGUGUAGUCAAUUGUCCUCUUGUAAAGAAGUGAUAGAAAGAUUCAAUUAUGUUUUUCAUCUUCGCAUUUUUUAAAGAUUUAAGGAUAUUUUGUAGAUUAAAGAUAGAAACUGCUUGUUUGAGUUUUAUUCUGAUUCACCUAUAUUUAUUUAAUAAAAUAAAAAAGUAAAUAAAAUUUCUAUCGUCUAUGUAUGAAGUCAAUUUUUUUAUAAAAAAAAAUCAUAUCAUGACCGGUUUUAACAAGAUCAUUAAUCUAUAUCUAAAAUCAUCAAAUUUUCUAAAUUAUAUAUCAUUAUAUAACCUUAAUUUCUAUUAAAAAGAUAAUAAAUUAGUAUGAGUGAAAUAAAAUUCUAACAUUCCAUCAACGAUAAAUACAGCUAAAAAUAGUUAAAAGAAGCUAAAAAUUUAAAUUGUUCCAUCAUUUUAUCUUUAAUAAUAUAAUAGUGAACAAAUGAUAAAAUACAAAUGUAUCAAUAUUUUGUAUUUUAUAAAGUAAAAAGUGAUUAAUAUUUUAUUAUUAAAAAAGAUCAAUCAUAUAUUAAAGAGAGAAAUAUAAUUUUAUUAUUUAUUUAUUUAUUCUUUCUUUAUUAACUUUAUAUUUUACAAUUUUUAUUCACAUUUUAUUAAAUUUACAGCUUUAUGAUUUUGUUGUUUGGUGAUGAUAUAAAUAUGUGUAUAUAUAAGCAUAAUCAAAGUCAACAUGGCAUAAAUGGUUAUGGUCUUAAUCCUCUGCUUGUUUGAAUUAUUUAAUAGCAAAUUGAACUAAUGAGGCCCAAUUUCAAAUUUCCAUUUUCUAUGGCACAUAAUAUAUUUGGAUUACUUAUUAGAAAUGAAAAUAAAAAUAAAAUAUUCAUUUUCAUUGAAAUCAAAACACAUUCAUAUACGAUUCUCUUUUUCACAAGGUAUCUAGCUUCACCUCUAUUUUCAUUUCAAUCCUCACACAUCAAACAUUCCCAAACAGUUUCAAGGGCAAGGGUAUUGAGGCAUGCUCAUUUCCUAUGGUGUUAUAAUAUGAACUAAAAUUCUCUAAAUAUGUCAUGAGAUGGAAGGACAUACGCUCGAACCCCUUUAAUGUAUGUGCUUUCAAAAACUAGAUUGGUGAAGUAUUAACUAAAAUUUAUUUCAAAUCCCAAGUUGAGAAAUUGUCAUUCUAAAUACAAACACUCCAAUCCAUUAAAGCGAAUAAAAAUUAUAGUAGCUUCAUGGUAUACAAUCCAAAUAUACAAGAGUUCUUUUCACUCAUCUUUACACACAAUAUAAGCACAAAGGAAUUUUUAUUUUAUUUUUUGUCUCUUUGGAUGAUUAUUUCUGCAAUCCACCAUGUGCACACUUAGCAUCCAGAAAUUCAAACAUUUGCAAGAAGUUUCAGUUGAGUCCGACCAUUCUUCAAAAUCUUAUCCUACAAAAACAAAAACAUAAAUCAGUUGGAUCAUUGGCCUAUAAUCUAAAUAAAAAAAAAUUAAGUGAAUCUAAAUAUUUAACUUACAUGCAAACAACAAUUCAUGAACGUUAUCAAUCAUAACAAAUUCUAAUAAGUAGUUGUAAAGGAUACGUGUAAACUAGAGUUAUUUACAAUUUAUAUAAUGGAAAUGUAAACAAAUGAAUUCAAAUUUAAAGUAAUAUUCAGAAAUAUGUACCCAUAAACAAACAACUAAUCCAAAUUCUUUAGAAUUGUAUGCCCAAAUUAAGAUGAUGUAGACAAAGUGUAAAAUAAGUUCAUUUUUAACAUUUUCAUAAUAAUUCACCAAAGUAGGUAUUUUCAUAGUCUAAAUUCCUCAAGAGUAAAAUAAUUUUGAAAAUAAACAUGCAUGUAAGAGAUGGUUUUAAUUAAGUUUCAGUGUAAAAAAAAUAAAAAUAAAUAAAUUCAAGAGACAUAAAUAUUAAGUCCUUGUCUCUAGAAAAAAUAAUAAAUAAAAAGAUCGAGAUUAUAUUAAUGAUGCAUCAAGUAUGUUAUUGGAUCCAAAAGUUAUGUCUUAAUCUGUUUUACAAACAUGUAUUUUAGGAUAUGAAAGAGAAAAUAGGAUCAACAUUAAGAAAAGUUAUUUUGUUUGGAGUUUUAUUAAUAGUUUCUUUUUUAAACUAUAACUAAAUUCAUUGGGGUGAGUUAUGCGUGAGGUAAGGAAAAAAACUAAAACAAAAGUGGAAAUAAAAAUAAAUUUUAUCCACUUAUAACAGAAAAACAUGAACAUGAAGACACAUGAGACAUUUGAAACUUUGUCCCAAAAAAGAAGGCAGUACCUGCGAGAGGAUGGGAGAAGAAGGUCAUCUUCUCAUUUCUCCUCCGGAUCGCAUUUAAGUAGGGAGUGAAAGUGAGUUGAAUGGUUUCAUCCUCCCACUGCAACCCUCGCCACCACUCUGAUGUCCCUUCAAUUAUCUUUAAACUGUUUCUUGCACUGUUUGAAUCCAAUGGCAGCUUCCUUAGGUUUGGGCAUUUCGUCACACGGAGGGUUUUCAAGGAAGGAAAUGGCAAAGCUCGUCUGCUGAUGCUCCUUAGAUUUGGUAGGUAAUGCAAGGUCAAACCUUCAAGUCUUGAGAAUAUGCCAAGAUUUUCAGGGACCUCACUCGCAUCACCUAUCACUUCUUUCAUGGAUUCACAUCUAUGUACAGAAAGUAGUUCAAGACUUGGGAUGUAAAUAAGCCAUGUCAAGUCCAACAACUUUGGAAGUUGAUCAACAAAUACACUUCGGAGGUUGUAGAAAAUUGAGUUUGGGAUAUAAUUUGCUACAAAUCCCCAUCUACCGCUCUCAUUUUCUAGAUUGACUUUUAUGUCUUGUAGCUCCCCACAUCUACAUAUUGCAAGGGUACAUAAAUGUUUGAUUCUUGGCAAUUGGAGCAUCCUCAUACCUUCCAAGUUCCAAAGGUGUAAAUACCUCAUAGCAUUCAGUAAUUUUUGGGAGUUCAAUAACUUUUGGAAAGACAGAGCACCUACAAUGGGCAAAGAGACCCAAUUUAUGUGCUCCAACCCUUCUAACUCCUCUAAUAAUGCUUUAUUAUCCUCAUGUAAAUAAAUAGCCUUAUCAUCCUUCCUUGAAUAAUCGGCUUCCUCCUCGUCUGUGGGUGACGAAAUAUCUGACAUGAUAUAUUUAAUUCUUAUGCUAAAAACUCUCAACAUUGAGAGAUGUGAUAUUACUUCCUUAAAAAUUAUUUCAAGACUACCAUCUAACAGCAGACAUCUUAGUCUUUUCAAAGUUGCAAGCUCCGCAGACAAUUCUUUUAGAUUUGUCUUUGACAAAUUGAGAUAUUGCAGUGUAACUAAUUUACCAAUUCCAGUAGGUAAUUUAGUUAUUCCAGCAUUUGACAAGUCCAGAACUUUUAUAACCGGCAUGAAAUGGAAGAAUCUACUCUCUAAUGUUUUCAAGCCUCUACUCUCAAAUUUUUUCAAGCCUCUACUCCGAGCAAUUAAAGUCAAGAGAUUGGGAAAAGAUGGUGGUAUAGUGAGUUCUUCCAAACUACUUGUCGACAGGUAUAGCCGAUGUGCCUCUUUCCACUUUGAAACUUGGUAAAUUUCCAUAGCAUCAACUUCUUCAACCAAGAUUAUGUUCUUAUUGCCCCUAUAUUCUGAAUCUAACCAUAAAGCCAUAUCACGAAUGACAUCAUGCAUUUUAACCCUAUUAAAUCCACCAUUCUCGAAUAGACAUACUGUCUUUAGAUGCUCAAUGAUGUGGUGCCCUUGGUUAAAUGCUUCAUCUAUGCUAGCAAAUCCAUCCAAAAACCCUUCUCCAAUCCAAAGGAAUAUAAGAUCCUUAUCCUUAAUUUGAUGGUCCUCUGGGAAUAUAGCAAGAUAUAAAAAACAAGUCUUGAUGGUGUCAUCUGACAAGUUAUCGUAACUGAAUUUGAGGACCGAAAAUACAUGAUCGGGAAUACCUGAAAACUUCGAUGGAUAAGCCUUCAACAUUUGGAUUGCUCGCUCCCAUUCUUGUGGAGUGUUCUUGCCAGCCAUAGCUCGCCCAAUAGUGAUGAGUGCAAGUGGUAAGCCUUGGCAUUCUUUAGCAGCAAUUUCAGCAAGUUGGGGUAUAUCCGAAUGUGAAUUUAGAGUAGUCUCUCCAACCUUCUUCUUGAACAAAUUAAUAGCCUCAUCUUCUCUCAAACACUUCACCUUAAGGCUUUUUUGAGCUUCCAUAUCCCGACAAACAUCCAGAGAACGGGUUGUUAAUAUUACUUUGGACUUGUUUUGGGAAUUAGGAGAAGGAACCCCCACUUUUUGGAGAUCAAGCCGCUCCCAUACAUCAUCUAGCAGCAUCACAAACCUUUUUGCCUUCAAGACAUUAAAAAUUUCUACUGCCUUUUCAUCCUCGGUUCUGUUUCUCCAUCUGUCUUCAGGAAUGUUUAAUUUGUUGCGAAUGACUUCUUGUACUUUUUCCACGCUUGCAGGCCUGGAUACUACAACCCAGAUGGCGAUUUCAAAGAUCUUGCUCGCUCUGAUGAACUCAUUAUUCACUUUGGUCAUGAGGGUAGUUUUCCCGGCACCCCCCAUGCCGUACAACCCAAUAAUUCCGAGUUUCUCAUGUUGGAUGCAUCUGCAAACCUCUGUAAACAUCAGAUCUAAGCCCACAGUCUUCUCCAUCGGUCUCUCAUCCACCGGAGCUUGAGAUAACCUAUCAGCCACAACAUCAAAGCGUCCCUUGCUCCUUAAUUCAGUCACAUCACCCAGCUUUUUACUCGCUUUCUUCCCGAGCUUGUAGCUGGACCGGCAGUUUCUGGGGCAACAAGUUCCAGGGCAUUUCUUCUGGAUUUCCUGAUCGCCUUUCUCCAGGAUCUCGUUGACUUUUAUUUCCAUGUCUAGUACACUAUGGAGCCAGCCGUCCACUUCAUUCAUGCGCUUCAUUUGCCGUUGCUCUUCAAGAUCAACUCUUGCCUUCACAUCUUCAUAUACAGUCUUCAGCUCCUGCAUUGCGUUUCUUAAAGAGUCCAUAUUUUCCUGCAGAUCCCUGAUGUAGACUGCAUGCUUGGCUGUGCAGUCCCAUACGCGAGUUACAACAUCCAAGAUUGGGCUCACACAAUCCAUUCCUUGCCUUGAGAGAUGAAAGAAACAAGAAGUGAGAUUCAAGAAAAG
rnacentral:lncRNA from 1 species